UCUUGAGUUAUAUCUACAUAAUUUUUCUGAUGACUUAGGUGCAUGUUUGUUAUCUUUCUUAUACAGGGUUGCACCCUAUCCUUCUAUGGAUUCAUCAGUUUCUAUUAUCAAAUAAUCUGAGUCUAAUGGUAUUUCCAUUUUAGAAAUCUUCUUUAUCUCUUCUUUUAUUCUAAUCAUUAUCUUUAUAUCUUCCUGGUCGAAACUUUUAAGGCCGUUUUUCUUAGGGCUCGUUCUUCCACAUGUUUUAGAAGGACUUUUUCAAUAAAAAGUCUUUUUCUCUUAAAAGGGAUGAAGAACGGCCUCCUUUCACAUAAAAAUUUCACCAUCAGAAAAGGGCUUUUCUCCAGAUGAAGAAGCUUAAAAUUUAUCCUUUUCUUCAGCUUGAAGUGCUUUUGGCUGAUAAUUGACCAAAUUAACCUGUCUUCUCCCACAAACGUUCUUUCCCCUCUGCUGGUUCUUUGGAGCUGUAUACCCUUUUUUUCACAUUUUCAGCUUUCAAAGCUCUUUCCUAUUCUUUGUUCCUCUUCCGUAGGUGAGAUUUUAUUUUCUUCUUCUUCUCUUUAAUUAGUUCCUCUUCUGCAGGUAAGUAAAAAAAAUAGCUUUGAAAGAGGGAGAUUUUUGGCUUUUGUGCCUCUUUUACUUUACUGUUUUGCUCUUCUUUGUGCCUCUGCUACUUUGCUCUGCUUUGCUUUUGUUUUUCUAUCUUAUCAGAAUGGUUUGAGCUCUAGGAAGUCUAAUUUGAUUUUUCAUUCAGGAUAGCUGCUACUGCUUUGAGGCAACCCUCCAGUGCUUAAAAGCUUAAAAGGCACCCAAGAGAAGGUACCUUGGUUUGUUUAUUUGGAGCUGUUUUUGACGCCCUAAAAACUGAUUAUAUUGAUUCUUUGGUUUUGUUAGAGAGAUGUAUUUUGGUCACUACUAUUCUAUACUUUGCUUCCAGCCAACCUUUUUGUAUCCUAUGUAUGCUUUUGUGGUGCCUUGGUAAUUUUAUGUGGUGCCUAUGUGUUGUGAUUAUAUUGAUACUUUUUGUUGCGUUUUGUUAGAGAUGUACUUUUUAAAAUUCUUUUGACCUUUUCUAGAGAUAUGCAUGUCCUAAUGAAAUUGCAUUAUAUCUGAUCCAUGGCUCAAUCAUUCUGGAGGCACUUGCAUUCAUCGUAAAAGAGUCAGCUUGAAGUCAAAGUCCAUCUCAGGUGUAAAACCUGUGCUCCCCAAUUCUUCUUUCCUUGUUCUUUGGAAUUGCCCCUGAUGUCGUUACUUAUAAUGCCCCUGAUGUCGUUACUUAUAAUGCCUUCAUGAACGGGAUAUGUAAAGAAGGGAGGGUAGAUGAUGCUUUUAGAGUAUGUGAUAAUAUGAAUAGUGAAGGACUGGCAUUAGCUGAUAUUACCUAUACGACUUUGAUCCAUGAGUGU